AUCAAGAAAAGGCAAUAAGGAUCAUCACAUUGAGUACGCGCCAUCCUGACGAUCAGUGUCCUGUUGGAGUUGAACGCGAAUAGUCGUGUGUUGGGCGCGCCGCCAACGUCAAACAAGAACUAUUAAUUCCAGUUACGAAAUUUGUGCGAUUCGUCAAUAAAUAAUGCCAAAACAAAACCAAACAAAGUGAAAAAAACUAAAGAAAAAGCUACAGGGAAAAUGAAAUGUUGAAACUAUGAAAUGUGCAAGAAUUUCUGUGCAAUAAAAAGGCAAAAAGUAAAGCCAACAAACACUGCGCUGGAGUUGUUUGUGUAGACCAAAGUUUUCUAACUUUUUAAGUGUUAUGUUUGAAAAAAGAAUCAGAUUUUUUAAUUAAAGUUUUUCAAGGCGAAAUGUGCAUACGUUGAGUUAUUUAACGAAAUGUUAAACGACAGUUUAUUUUAGUAGUCACAUCUUCUGGUUGUUGAAACUUGGAAUAAAAACCUGUUAUAUUUUAUUUUGUUACAAUAAUAACAAUAAUUUAAGAAUAUAUGGACUAUAAAAACAUGGAUUAUCAUUCGGACGACGAUUUCGAUUGUUCAAAUGGUGGCUACAGCGAUAGCUAUAACGGUACAAAUGGCAGUGGACAAGGACAGAUGUCGAAUCCACACGGCUUGUCGAAAGCUGAGUUGCGAAAGACGAAUAAGCCAAUUAUGGAAAAGCGCCGGCGUGCGCGCAUAAAUCACUGCCUUAACGAGCUGAAAUCGCUAAUCUUGGAAGCUAUGAAGAAAGACCCCGCCCGCCACACUAAACUUGAGAAGGCUGAUAUACUAGAGAUGACCGUUAAACAUUUGCAAUCAGUUCAGCGUCAGCAGCUGAGCAUGGCCAUCCAAACAGAUCCCACGGUGGUGCACAAAUUCAAAACGGGGUUCAUUGAGUGCGCCGAAGAGGUCAAUCGCUACAUCAACCAGUUGGACGGUGUGGAUGCUUUGGUGCGACAGCGUCUAACUACUCAUCUGAGCAGUUGCGCCAGCAAUUUGGAACAGCUCGGCUCCAUGACUAAUUUCAAUAACGGCUAUCGUGGUCAGCUCGCUAUGGGCACAAUCUCCGCGCCGGGUAAUCUUUUUGGUAACGCGUUGGCUGGCAAUCCCUUGGCAAUCUCGGGUAAUAGUGGGCCUGGUGCACUCUUUCCAACGCUGCCACAAGAUUUCAACAACAACAACAGCAGCAGCAGCAGUAGCGUCUUCGGCAGCAAUCUUGGUGUGGCAGCGCCGACUAUGCCACCCGUACAAAUGGGCGGCGUUCAGUUGAUACCGUCACGUUUGCCUUCCGGGGAAUUUGCGCUUAUUAUGCCAACGUCAGCGCAUGCGAAUGUACUAAAUAACAAUAACAGCACAAGCGCGCCUUUCGCCAACUACGCCCAUGGCAGAAUUGCCGCUGCAGUAACCUCACCCGUGGCGAGCGCAACGGCAACUACAGUCGCCACAGCGAUCACAGCGCCUACCCAGCUGCCAGCCUCUAGCGUGCCCGUCAACGAUUUCGCCGCUAAUUAUAAGCGUUUGAGCGCUUUCAGUCGACCACCAGCUGCGGCAACGCAAACGCAAGUAAACGCGCCCACACCAACCGCUGCUACGAGUGGCAAGAGUACACAACUGUGCAGUAGUUUUGGUAACGGUUUCAUAGCUGCCACGCACACGCAACAGCAGCAUCAGCAACAGCAACAGCAACAAUCACGUGCGGCACCUACACACCAAUUACACCACCAAAGCUCAACCGCAACCAACAGUCCUCCACUAAGUCCCAUCUCCUCCGUUUCCAGUCAGUGCGAGGAUUCACUUAUGCAUACCAGCUCCGUUUUCACCGGCUCUCGCCCGGCUACACCACCGCUCGAUGUGACCGGCGAUCAUCAGCACAAUUUCUCGGGUGUAUUUUCAACACCGUCCAGUGCCGAGUCAUCACUGCUGACCUGCUCAACCUCCUCACAAGCAUCUGCAGCCAACCACAGCGCGACUAAGUUUUCAACGCAUCUGCAGCAACAGCAAGUGUCUUCGACCAGCGGUAACGUCAGUGGCCACAGUUGCAAUACGAGCUCUAGCAGCAACAACAACAAUGAUUGUAGCGACAGUGGCGUCGAAAUGAAUGGUUCAUUGAAACGUCCACUAGAUGAUGACGAAGCGGACUCGAGCGAUGCGUGUGAGACACCGCCGAGCAAGAAACCAGCCCGGGAUUCAAAAACAAGUGCAGAGCCACCAGCGUCGGAGGCCGCGUUGCGCAAGCAAAAGCACAAGCUGCAGGAGCUGAAAGAAGACAACGACAAUAUGUGGCGUCCGUGGUGACACGCCGAACAACUGGGCUGGUCAACUUUGUCGGGUGCAAAGUGAGAUUUAGCUGUGGUGACUCAAGCAUUAGUGAUCCGCGAGUUGGACAAGGGGUGAGGGUUACACCUGUGUAAAUUAUUCGAAAUGGAAUAAUUAGUCAGCGUCAGGAUUAAUCGAUGGAUGUGACAAUUUUAUCUGAGAUUUUAAUCGGUGCAACAAACUAAAAACCAUUAAUGAGGAAGACGGUGAGUGCUUCGUUUAUAGCCGUAGUAAAAAUAAUGAAGCCUACUUUUAGGAUUCUUACGUGAUUAUACCUUUAUUUUCUGGCAGGAAAGAAUUCUUAUGCGAUUCGUAUUAUAAGAUAAUUAUGAAAAUAAAAUAGAACACCGAUUUUCCAAUUGGCUCAUAAUGUAACUGUAAAAUGAUGAAGAGUAAUUAAUUUAAAAUCAAUAAUAUUAUUUAGUGAAGGCAUAAUAGUUGCAAAGAAAUCUUUUUAUGUUUGAUAUUUUAAUAUUAAUUCUUUUCAAUCAGAAUACCGACACAAAAAAUUGUACAUAAAU
rnacentral:misc_RNA from 1 species